rnacentral:lncRNA from 1 species
UCCCGAACUGAGAAAUUUCACAGAAAAAUUGGAAUAAAUUCAAAAAUCUCAUGUUCCCCACACGAAUACUGAACUAAUUUUGUGACGAUGGGAUGUUCUCCUCUCUCGGCCUAAAAAUAUCUGCCGAUGAGGUUCAUCAAAUUUUGAUCACAAAAUUUUUAUAGCUGCACUAGGCAUAGCAUGAAGAGACGCGUAUUCGUAUCAUAGUAUUUUAUCAGUUCGGAAAGUAUGCACACGAAUGAUAAAAUCUAGGUUACUAGCCUGACAACGAACGCGGCCUAUUUGUAUCAAAGUAUUUUCUGUGUGAAUGGAAUUUAAAAAUACGAGUCAAAUUUUCUCUCUCACUCACAAAUACAGAGAAAAUGGAAGUAUCACCAGUCAGCAUCCUACAUGUCUCGCAGUGGAUCCCUGUCGACAAAUUGCCAUCACAGAACGAAUGAAAGAACGAUAUACCAUGCUAUCCCCUCUUGCAGCCAACCAGUGCCAUUUCCAUGGCUGGCUAGCUAGCUAUCCUGGAGUAGAAGCUUAGCCAGCACAAGACGGACACCAAUGGCGUGAGCCGAACCGUCUGCUCGUUGAUGCUUGUCGGGUAAAGCCGGUGAGGCUUGCAAACCAAGUUGACCCAACCUGACCCCUGCAGAAAGCUACAGCCAAGUAAGGCCUUGUUUAGUUCAUAAAACACAAAUUUCCGCGCUUUCUGAUCGAAUUUUUGAUAUAUGUAUGAAGUAUUAAAUGUAGAAAAAAACCAAUCACGUAGAUUACGCGUAAAUUACGAGACGAUCUUUUAAGCCUAUUCGCGAUAUGAUUUGAUAAUGUGAUGCUACAGUAACCAUUUGCUAAUGAUGGAUUAACUAAACUUAAUAAAUUCGUCCUGCAUUGUUUCAUCAGAAUCUAUAAUUUGUUUUGUUAUUAGACUAUGUUUAAUACUCCAAAAGUGUGUCCGUAUAUCUGACGUGACAACCAAACUCAAAAAUUUUCUUCAACUAAACACGGCCUAAGUAAAGCAAGCAGAAAAUUCAGAACAAGCAUCAGGAGCAAGAGAUAGAUCAGGAGGCCAGCCAGACCACUGAAGCUACAGAAACCAGCUAGCUAGUGCACUGCCAUCUGUGAAAAUGGUCCAUGAGCAAGCAAGCAACAACCAUCACUUGCAAGGAACAAGAAUCAUCACACACACACACGCACGAACAGGCACAGCAACUAACUUGUCUUGCUUGCACUUUUGGGUCACAUUGCUGCUUUCUGUUGCCCUCUGCGUGCCUGUGACUCUGCUCCUUAGCACGUCAAAGGAAUGUCUCCUUGAUCGGCUGCACAGUAAUGUAUUGAUUUAGUCGAGAACAAGUUAGUUUGCCCCUUGAAAAAGAGGGGGUUAGAGAGGGUGCUAUCUGAUUUGACUCUCACUUUGGUUAACAAAUCGGAUGUGCGAGUGCGGUUAGUUGGUGCACACAUAUACCCUUGUAAAUUUUAACUUUAAAUUUAGAGUUUUUUAUUAUAGUUUAUUUUUCAACAUUUGGUUUAUAUAGCUAAGAAUACAUAUAUACAUACAUAUAUAUAUAUAUAUAUAUAAGUUUUUUUACAAAUUAUUUUUUUUCUUUUACAAACAUGUCAUUUUUUUUCUCUGAAAAUGCCAAACAAUCAUCCACCCCUGUGAACGCCCCUCUUGCACACGCCUAAAUCUACCAAUAUAUGGGCGUGUGCUUUUCCACAUUUUACUACUACUGGCUACUAUUGUUGCAUAUGUGUUUGCAUGUGUUGAGUGUUGAACCAUGAAGUUAGCUAUAAUGUGGCUCUUACCAACUGGCAGGGGCAAAUCUUGAACCUAAAUGGAUCACAUGAGCCAUGGAGUCUUAAACUAGUUAACCUUGUUUGUAACUUGUAAGAGUAGGAUUGAUAGUCUAAAAUAUGCCAACAAGAAAAAAGGAAACUUGAAAAGAAUAUGAAGCAUCCAUGAGAGUUGAGACCAUGAGUCAUCUCCCACAAACUGAGGAAGGGGAGGCCAAGUUCAACUCCAACAUUGUUGACUAGUAGUACACAAGAAUUUGGCUCAGAUUCGCACCUAAGGUCCAAAACACCAUGAGUCAUUUUAUUUGGACCAUAUGACAAAAAAGAGACCCACAAAACUUUAACAAAUUCCUCUCUUUAAUUUGUCCUCCAGUCGAGAUUCAGGCUGAGAUUUUUUCGACAAAAUGAUGACUUCCACGAUCAUCAGAUUAAAAGUUCAUGAACAUGAUGAAGUUAUUUCACAAUAGAAAGUAGCGGAGUUGCAUUUGCACUUUUGUUGUUUCGGACUAAAUAUUGGCUCCCAUCCAAAAAGCAAAACAAGUUUAUUACGUGUUCAUCGUGAUAAAAAAAUGUUAUAAAAUAAACUGCGAUGAACAAACCAUGAAAUCAACUCUAAAAUUAAGUUUUAUAUUUAAAUUUUGGUACUUGUAACCGCGAAACGGUGGGAGCCAUCGUAGGGAACCAAUUUGUUUUUACUAAAGAUAUAUCGAUAAAAUGCAAUUGAUGUUCUUAGCGUUGAUGUUUUACAUAGCAACGCAGAGUCUCAAUUACCUCAAAAAGUGUAGUUGGAUGGACUGAUGGUAUCAAGCCGAUCUGGCCACUGCCCUCGCCGGCGCAGAUACGGCGGCGGCGGGGCACCCCGAUGGAAGGUCGUGGCGGGAGGAGCAAGAACUCGCGGGGUCGCUUCGCCUCGGGCUCCGGCGGCGCCGAGGCUGGGAUUUGGCUAAGAGAGGAGACGAACUCGUGGAUCGGUGCGGUGGCCGUGGCCAUCGCCUUCGCCGUCGCCGUCGCCGGCGGAAGACCAAUUUGCCCUAAGAUUACCCAAUUGGGCCGAACUGCAAAAGCUUCUGGC